CCGCUGAGAGGCAAACUGGUGGAACUGAAAUGGUCCCGAGGAAUUCAGCCGCUGGUGGUUGCACAGUCUUUGGUGCUUGAUUUAACGACAUCGCCAUUGAAUGACGUUUCCAUCAUCGGUGCACUUUCCUCGCAAUGGGCCCGACCACGACCGGUGAGCCGAUCUGUCUGUCGUGUUUGGAAGAUAGCGCCAUCUUCGGAAGGCGUGUUAUAGACUUGCACACGGAGCAGUCGGCGCACUGGAUGAAAGUGCCUGCCCUCUGGGCUCAUAUGGCGGUUGUUUUGUUGGCGAGUUCCGAUGUCACUACUUCGGUAGAGUCGUUGGACUGUGUCGGCAUUACGGCUGUCCUCUAUGAUUGGCACUGGUAAGUCUGUGGUUGUGAAGUAGGUAGUCCACCUGACCCGUCUUGAAACACGGACCAAGGAGUCUAACAUGUGCGCGAGUCAUUGGGUUCACGAAACCUAAAGGCGCAGUGAAGGUAAAGAUCUGCUUUGGCAGAUUGAGGUGGGAUGCUGGGUUACGCGCCCAGCCGCACUACCGGCCCGUUCUAUAUGUAUCUCAUAGGAGCGGAGCAAGAGCGUACACGUUGGGACCCGAAAGAUGGUGAACUAUGCUUGCGCAGGUCGAAGCCAGAGGAAA
rnacentral:rRNA from 1 species